rnacentral:rRNA from 1 species
GACAGAGGAUGCAAACGUUGCUCGGAAUUACUGGGCGUAAAGCGCGUGUAGGCGGCUUGGUAAGUCGGACGUGAAAUCCCGGGGCUCAACCCCGGAAGGGCGCUCGAUACUGCCGAACUUGGGUCCUGAAGAGGAGAGCGGGAAUUCCCGGUGUAGAGGUGAAAUUCGUAGAUAUCGGGAGGAACACCAGUGGCGAAGGCGGCUCUCUGGGCAGGUACCGACGCUGAGACGCGAAAGCGUGGGAAGCAACAGGAU